AGUAAUGCUGAUAACCACAGUGAGCACCAAAGCCAAAUGCCAAAAACCAAAAAGGAUGGCAAGAAUCAACCACAGGGGACAUCAGAGGACCACAGGUGGAGGAGAAGAGGCGAAAGUGGAAGCAACACAGGUAUUAAGAAGAGAGAAAGAAUCUGAGAAAUUAUGGCGUACUCAACUGUGGACAGCUGAAAGUCUGGCAUAGCGUGCCCUCAUCAUCACAAAUGGGCUCGCAUUACAAGCUACACUUAUUUGACAACUAUCAGCAUUUGUCAACCGGCACUCAGAUUUGAAGACUCAUUUCACAGCUGGAGCAAGAGAAGACAGGAAGGAAAAAUCAGAGUAAGGUUUCAAUGAGUUUCUGCAAAUUCUCAGAAGUUUUGCUGCCACUCAGUGUCACAAUAACAAAAAGAAAUAAAAAUAGCUGAUAUUUACUAAACAUCUACUCUGUGCCAUUUUAAGUGCUUUACAUAUAUCGGCUCAUUAAAUUUUAACAACCACAUAAGGUAGGUACUAUUGAUAGUUCCCAGUUUAUACAUGGGAAAACCGAGGCCUAUCAAGGUUAGGAGAUUGCUCAAUGUCAUACCUUAAAUGCAAAGGUUUUCUCCAUGAUGUGCUUAUUUCACAUUGCAUGCCUGUAUCAAAACAUCUCAUGUACCCAAUAAAUACAUAUACCUACUAUGUACCCACAAUUUUUUUAAAUUAUAUUAAAAAAAAACCCAAAGGGGAAAAAAAGGUUUUCCAAGUAUAGUUCAGAACCUUUUAGGGGAUCCAUAAUGUCAAAACUAUUUUCACAAUAAUACAAAAAGUUAUGUAUUUACCCUUUCACCCCAUUCUCUCAUGAGUCUGUAUGAUAUGUGACAUCACAGCUGGUUGAAUGCAGAUGAUAUAGAACCCAGGUGUCUUCUAUUAUGUUAACUAGUUUUACAAAAGUGUAAAACAAUGGCAUUCUUCUCAUUAACUUGUUUUUGUUUUGGAAAAUACAAUCAUUUUGUAAACACAUCAUGGGUUCACUAUUUUUUAACAAAUUAAUAAAAGUAUUUAGAUUUUUUUCUUCAUUUUCAUUCCUAAGAUAAUAAAUAUUGAUAGUGGGGUCCUGAGAUCACAAAGUUUGAGAACGCCAGCCAAGCAAGUGUCAGAGCUAACUCCAAGCCUAUGAACCUUAGUGCCCACAACACUGACCACUACAUGAAACCACCUCUCUCAAUCAGUGGUGUCAUUUGGAAAGCUUCCUUGGCCUGGUACAGUGGCUCACACCUGUAAUCCCAACACUUUGGGGGUCGAGGCUAGUGGAUCACUUGAGCUCAGGAGUUCAAGACCAGCCUUGGCAACAUGGUGAAACUUGUCUCUACCAAAAAUACAAAAAAUUGGCUGGUCAUGAUGGUGUGCAUCUUGUGAUCCCAGCUACUUGAGAGGCUGAGGCAGGAGAAUCACUUGAACGUGGGAGGCAGAGGCUGCAGUGAGCCGAGAUCAUACCACUGCACUCCAGCCUGGGAGACAGAAGUGAAAUCCUGUCUCCAAAAAAAAAGAAAAAAAAAAAAAAAAAAGAAAGUUUCCUUGAAGGCUUUUUCCCUCACCUUGUUUAAUGUAAUUGAGAGCAUACACAAUUUUAUAUGCUAUUUUUUGGCAUUUAAAACAGGGGUCCCCAACAGCCUAUAACAGUCCAUAGCCUGUUAUGAACCAGGCCUCACAGCAGGUGAGUGGCAGGCAAGCGAGCCUGAGCUCCACCUCCUGUCAGAUGAGCAGCCGCAUAAGAUUAUCAUAGGAGCAUGAACCCUGUUGUGAACUGUGCAUAUGCCAGUUCUAUGCCUGAUGAUCUGAGGUGGAACAGUCUCAUCCCAAAACCACCCCCACUGGUCUGUGGAAAAUUGUCUUCCAUGAAACAUCCCUGGUACCAAAAAGAUUGGGGACCACUGAUUUAAAAUAACAACAUUAGCAUUGACCUGGGUUAAAACCCUCUAAUGGUUUUCCAUUUUACUUGGAAUGAAUCCAGACUCCCUAUUCGUCAUGUCCUAAGAGCCCUUCCUGGUCCCCUGCCUGCCAGACUCUUCAACUUCACCUCACAACAUUCUCACCCUCCCUCACCUAGCUGAGGCUUCGCUGAUGGGCUUUCUCCAACUUAUCUGGCUCAUUCCUGCCUCAGGACAUUUGCACUGGCUGUACCCUCUGCCUGGAACACUUUAAUCCCAAGGUAUUCAUAUGGAAGUUUCCUCUGAACACUCAGGUCACAACUCCAGUGUCACCUCACCCUCUCAGUGAGACCUUUUACAUUACCAAGUUCUUUCUUAACAAUUCUGAUAUUAUCUUACUGAUUUAUGUCUUUAUUAUCUGUCUUCAUCCCACUAGAAUAUAAUCUCCAUGAAAACAGAAAUUUACUCACAACUAUAAUUUUAAUGCCCAGAGCAGGAUCUAGCCAUUGGUAGAUACUCUACAAAUAUUUGUUGACUGUAGGUACUCUAUAAAUACUUGUUGAAUUAAUUAUUUUACAACUUUUUAGUAAAUGCUACAUAUUUAACUUUCUACUAGGCAUUUUCCCAUAGAUGCACCAUAGAUUCAAACUUAAUAUAUCAAGACCAGAGCUCAUCCUCAUAUUACCUUAACCAGACGCCCCUCCUGGGUUCCCUAUACCAGUAUCUGAUACCAUCACAUCCACCCCAGCAUCCAAAUCAGAAAUCUGAGAUUUGUCCCUCUCCCCAACACCCCAUAUCAAAUCACUCCCCAGAUACCUGAUGGCUUGUGUUCCUGCCCAAGCUAUUCUUCACUUCUGGAACUUUCCUCCUGUUGUCUCCUCUGCUGGGAUGUCCAUCCUCUUACUUCUCAUCUGCUUCAAUAUGUUUGAUCCUGGAAGGGUCAGCAUGGGAGGGGGAGUGGGCAGGUCUUCCAGGAAGCCUUUCUGAGUCCUGGCCACUCCGUGCCUCCAUGAGUGGCUUCUGGACCACUCAUCGGUAGUUCCAUGAUGCCCCUAUACCUCACUGCUUCUUAACUACUGACUUACAAUUAUUUAUAUGCUGGUUCCUAGCCCUGUCUCACUAGACUGUGAGCUACUUGAGAGCGGGUAAUCUAACUCACCCGUGGGGCCCAAGAACCAAACUCAGAACCUGCUCAAUAAAAGGAAGCUGGUGUCUUAAGGGUAAGGGAGUCGGCAGACAGAACUGUGUGAAUUUGAGUAGGAUACUCAAUCUCUCUGUGUCUUGGUUUCCUAGGCUAUAAAAUGAGGAUUACAGGGAGGCUGUGAGCAUUCAAUGAAAUGAGGUAAAUGCCACGACAGCACCUGAAAGACACUGCUCAAUAAGUGAGCACCAUAUUAUGGAAGGAAGAAAGGAGGGAGGAUGGGGGGAGCAUGCAGGGAUCCAAGCUUCAAGAGAUGUGUUUAAUGGGUAAAUAAAAAGGUACAUUUUCAUGCUAAUCAUAUUUUUAUAAAAAUAGAAUUCUUUAUUGAGACAAUUAACCAUAGAUAUUUAUUUCUAUAAUAAACUAUGGUAGCCAUGAGAUCAAUAUAACAUCAGAACAAGAUUUAAAGAAAAAUGAGUACCUUGGUACAAUUACUUUCUUCAUGAAUACUUAAUUAUUUCAAUCACUGUUCACUCUAAUUCUGGUUUUUAUCUCAGGCUCUACCAAAAUGUGUUAACCUGAGUCCUUUACCUUAGAAACCAACUUUGCCAUAUGGGCAUUGGCUUAGCACAGUUUAGACUUCAGGGUCUUUCACAGAAAUUAAGGCCACAAGCAAUUUUUUUUUUUUUUUUGAGACAGAGUUUCACUCUUUUGCCCAGACUGGAGUGCAGUGGCACAAUCUCGGCUCACUGCAGCCUCUGCCCCCUGGGUUCAAGCGAUUCUCCUGCCUCAGCCUCCCGAGUAGCUGGGAUUACAGGUGCCUGCCACCAUGCCUGGCUAAUUUUUGUAUUUUUAGUAUAGACGGGGUUUUGCCACGUUGGCCAGGCUGGUCUUGAACUCCUGGCCUCAGGUGAUCCACCUGCCUUGACCUCCCAAAGUGCUGGGAUUACAAGCAUAAACCACCGUUCCUGGCCAAGCAAUGUUUCUUCUACAACAGGUUUCUGUUGAAGAAUCCUUGCAAGAGAUCUCCAGCUACUCAAAUAGUUAUUCUAGUAAAUGCCCCACUUCUACUUGUGGUCCUUAGAUCCCCUUGGAAAAAUUUUAAGGCCCCCUUCUGGUGACUAGGACUAGCUGAGAGGGGCACAUGAGCCCAGAUCAACCUCCCUGUUUCUCCCCUUCCAAGCAUGCUCGGGCACUCUACCACCUCUUCUUCCCUCCCAACCCACCCAACACAGGUUGACCAGAUGCCCUGAAGAGAGGGGCAGGGUGGAGGUUGAGGGAUGAUGACUCUUUUCAGAUUUCUAGGUCGACACUCUGAUUUUGGGUGACUCAAAUUGUUUAUAUAAAAGGAGUCCCACAAAAAACCAUUUUCCCUAGGGCACCCAUACUCACAGGGGAAGCCAUGGCACCUCUGCCUCCAAAAUAUUUGUUCCCUAUCUCCAAUACUCUGAACAAGAGAGAAAAGCCAUGCUACUACAAGAUGUCACAAGUCUGUUUAAAAUCCUAUAAGUGUCUCUUCACAGAUCAGAAAAAAAAAAAACAGGGAGGAGAGUUCAUUUUUCCAACUUCACUGUUUUUUCUAUUUAAGGAAAGCUCCUCGCUCCCUUCUUUAUGGGAGCAAUUUAUCAGCCUUAUCAACCAUUUUACAUAGAGUUAAAAAUACUCCAGCUACAAAUUACAAUCUAAAAACAGCUUGGAGAACACAAAACCUAUGAUUUAUAGAAUGACACAUUUAAAUAAACCUUAAUAAAGUUCUUAAACAGCUGCAAAGGGCUUUCUCUGCUCUUUCUGCUCGACCACUGGCUGAGCUCCUUGUUCAAAUAACAGGAUGAACUUACUACCUCUUUGGAGAUGUGUAUCCCCCUUUUCCUAUGUGUUGCAGAGGAAACCUAUCUAAUGACCUUUUGGGGGCCUUAAAAAACAUUUGUCAUUUAAAGAAAACACAUUGUGGAAUAAAUAUGAGGUGCUCAGCCUCAGCACAUCUGUUAUUGAUUUGUGUAAUUAGUAAAAACCCGCUCGCAGCAUCCAGGAGGAGUGACCCAGGCCUGAGCACUCGUCCAGUCCUGGACUUUCCCCAGAGCACAUCUGGAAGGUGAGGGGGAGCAGAGCUACCAUGCCAGGUGGAGACGGGCUCACAGGUAACCAAAUCCAUGAAGUCAUCAAAGCCUUAAGAUUAGUCGCAGUCUUUCACGUCACUUUCCAAACUUUUUGUUGCUUUAUUAUACUGUUUGACAGAACUAAAGUUUUUCCAGCCUUGACAAGAUAAUUGCUUCCAUAUCACAGUAGAAUUGAAGAAAAAAAAAAUACACAGCCCUGUAUCUCACUGACAAUGAUAAAUUGUCAUCAGAUAAUAUCAUCUCACAAGUACACAGUACCAGUAGUUGCAUAAUUUUAAGCAUGAAUUUUCUAAAUAGGACUUCAACCAAUUUUUUUUAUUUGGCUGUAUCCUUGGUAGGGGACAGUUCCUCUUUACGAAAAGUCCUGAAGGCAUAGGGUGCUUUUAAAAUAAGUUACAGGUAUAAAUUGUGAAUCCAAACCCACAGUGGAUGCCACAAAACUCAUGUGGGUUUCAAUAAUAGAUUGGGAUAAGGCAUGUCCUUAAAAAGAAUCCAUGAUUCAGUUUAGAGACCUAGUCUCCUUUAUCCAAACCUCUCUGUUCCAGAAAUCUGGCUGGAAAUCUCAUUAGAACAAAUUAUAUUUAAUUUGUUUCUCAGUGGCAGUUGAGUUGGAGCGUUUGCCAGCAGAAGGUGUCCUCAAGCUUCCAGAUGAUUCUACAAACAGUUCGCCUAGGGACAGGCCUGUCCCUCCCACAGCUCUAAGCUAUGACACACCCCGCAAGUCAUGAGGUCUCUUUCAAUAGAGAGCUCAUUUCCUCCACAUAGUCAUAUUGAACUGAGUGUUUCUGGAUAUUUCUCCUUUAGAUUCCAAAUAAAGCAAACAUUUUCUGAUUAGGGGUUGAGGGAAGACAGUAUUUUUAAAAAAAAAAAGGAUAUGGCCAUUAGCUUUUCCAAAUUUAUGACAACCCAAGAGGUCACUUAUCAUCAGGUAGAGUAGGCAGAGCGCUGAAGUGGGAGCCAGGAGACUUGGUUCCGGUCCUAGCCUUGCCUACCGCUGAUCCUCAGCUCCUGCAGGAUCAGGAUCCUCCUCUGUAAAACGAGGGACUGGACUCAAUGUCCCUGAAAUUCUCUGCCAGAGUAAAGAUUCUAGGUUCAACAAGAUACAUACUUUUUGUUCUUUGUUCCCGCUGCUUCUCCCAGGAAAUUCCACCCAACAUAGGAAACAAAAGGGAGUCUGGUCCGCGGGUUCUUUUCACUGUACAUCUCAAGCCAAUCACAACAUAAGCAACGUACUGAAGUUAACCAGAGGAAAGUCCAUAAACCAACGACAACCCAGACUACAUCACAUCACCAUCCAUCACAGAUGUCCUAAGUGCCACCAUCCCACAGGCAGUAAUGCUUCCACCCAUUGGCCUUCUUGAAGCCUUGCACACCACAGCUGGAUUUGCCUACACAUGUGCCCCAGCCCACCUACCAGGAUGGGGCAUUGGCUGGAAUCUGCUGGAGCUCUCAUCAGAUAAUAAUUGCCUGGAUAAAAUCCACCAGGCCCCAAAGGCAGACUGAUGUAGUAAAGAAACAGCACAUGUCACUUCAUUAAAUAAUUAAGCUGGUGUUUUAGAAAGUCAACAUUGUGUCUUAAAAAACACAAUCUGUUUACAUUUGGUCAGAUGUUUUCAGCUGAAGAAAGGAUUACUUCCAAACAAUCUGUUGAGAGGUACACGGAAGAAUAUUUAGGCGCUUAUGAAUCAUGCUGUGAUUUGACAGGGUUGGCCCCAAGACAUGGCUUAUCCAUAGUAAAUUUAUUCCAAAAGAAAUUUUUGGUAGAGAAAUAAAAGAAAGGAGAUUAUGGGAUUUUUCAACAUUUGUUAUGCAUUUAUGAAAAUAAAAUCUUUCCCAGACUGUAGGUUCCUUGAGGGUAGGAACAGCAUCCCUUUGAUUCACUCUGUUGUUCCUGGGGGGCCAUCAGAGCACCUGGCCCUAAAUUGGCACCCAGUUUAUUGUUGGUAAAUGAGCAAGCAUUCAGACCACAGGUUCUGCAUUGGACAAUAUGUGUGAGAGUCUCACUGCUGUCAGGACUGGACAGAGAAAGUGAUGGAAGAUUAGGCCUACCCAGGAAUGGCCUCUAAAGAGAUGCUGGCUAUUACCAAAUCUGCCAGGCCUUGGAGUUAUUACUACUGGCUCCAUUUCACUAUGGAGCUUUCAAUCCUGUUAAAGCAGUUUAGGAGAGGGGUGGCAGGGAGUGGGAAGACCUCAGACAGCUGACUUUCUUUAAAAGACUGGAAGUAAGUGGCUAUCUAAGGGGCUUUAGGGGCUAAGAAAGUCUCAUCACCCAACACAUGGUGUUGGAGGCCAAAGCCACAUGUUGGGUGAUCUUAACGGGGAAGUGAGAGAGUAUGACAGUGAAACUGUCCCCCAUUCAAAAAUUCUCAUUCUCUGUAGUUCUUACAAAUAUGUUGUUUUCUUUUCACUUGCCUCAUUUACAGCAUAUUGUCCUUAGAAAAACAGGACUAAAAAAAAGCCAAAACAUUUUUCAGUUAAACCUGUUGCUAAUCAGGCCCUUCCAGUGAAAAACAGGGAAUGGAAAAGAGACAAUGAUCCCUGCCAAUCCCAAUUCCAAAUCCGAGCCACCUUCACAGCCAGUCUUCAAUACCGCGAACAUGCCAGGCCACUCCCAUGUGGGGUGUGGCUGGGGAACACCAGAGUUUCCAGCUUUACAGUGGUAGAACACCUGCUCUAGAACAGGCUUCUUGCUAUAGACAAUACUGCUAAGUAAGCUCCCCAUUCAAUGCCAUGAAGUUUUUGAAAGGUAUUUCUCAAUGAGUUGGUGUUAAACAGAAUUUUAGAAAUUACAAGAUUUUAGCUAAUUACAGGUCAGUUGGAAAGUGUAUGAGGGGAGGGAUGUCCUCCUUUUACUCCAAAGUCUCAUACCCUUCUGCAAAUCAAGCCCCAAAUCCCUGAAGGGAGCUAGAAUUUCAGGCCUUCAGAUCUCCACUUAAUUUUUAAAAUAUUCAUACACUUGCUUGCAGACUAAUUGUGCCUAAGUCAUCCCAGAUCCUCCUAAGUCAUCCUAGAUCCUCACACAUUUCUCCUUUCCCCAUGCUUUCAAAUUACCUUUAAAUACAAGUUUGUUUGUUUGUUGUUUGUUUGCUUUGAGAUGGAGUCUCGCUCCAUCACCCAGGCUGGAAUGCAGUGGUGUGAUCUCAGCUCACUGCAACCUCCACCUCCCAGGUUCAAGCGAUUCUCCUACCUCAGCCUCCUAAGUAGCUGGGAUUACAGGCACGCUCCACCCCGUCCAGCUAUUUUUUGUAUUUUUAGUAGAGACGAAGUUUUACUACGUUGGCCAGGCUGGUCUCAAACUCCUGACCUCAAGCGAUCUGCCCACCUUGGCCUCCCAAAGUGCUAGGAUUGCAGGUGCGAGCCACUGCACCCAACUAAAUACAAUAUUUGUAUUAGACUGAUUUAUGCACUUAUUUAUUUCCCAAUGAGAAAAACCAGUUCUAGGUGGGCAAGAGUUUGUCCUUUUCAUUAUUUUGUUUUCUCUUCCCAAGAUAGCAAGCAAGUCUUUCUAUUAGCAAGUUGACAAUGUCAUGUGACUCACAGAUGAGGAAGACAGAAAUUAUUAAAUUAAAAACAACAUCUUGGGCCGGGCACAGUGGCUCAUGCCUGUAAUCCCAGCAUUUUGAGGGGUCGAGGCAGGGGGAUCACGAGGUCAGGAGAUUGAGACCAUCCUGGCUAACAUGGUGAAACCCUGUCUCUACUAAAAAAACACAAAAAUUAGUUGGGCAUGAUGGCACGUGCCUGUAGUCCCAGGUACUUGGGAGGCUGAGGCAGGAGAAUCGUGUGAACCUGGGAGGUGGAGCUUGCAGUGAGCCGAGAUCACACCACCGCACUCCAGCUUGGCAACAGAGCAAGACUCACCUAAAAAAAAAAAAAAAAAAUCUUAAAAGUCUAUAGACUCAGAAUAGUUAAAUAAUUUAUAAUCUGGGUUUCAGAAUGUCAUUAAGAAAAAUAACAUGUUUGAAGAAUGUAAAUCAAGAGAACUUUCUUAAAGUGUGACAAGUUGUGUUUUUAAUAAGAAAGCUAUAAAAGAAUACGAUUGUAGUAGUAUAAAAGUUGAGAUAUAUUCACAUACAAAUAUUUUUAUAAGAUGAAAAAAACUUUGAGAAUAAUGGAAAAGACUUUGCAGAAGUUUAAACGUAAACCCUUAUUUUGAUAUAUAAAAUGGGUAUUUUGUCCCUUGGACUAGAGUUAAUUAUUAAAAUGGAAGUUUUUGUAAAGGGAGAAACAUAAAGAGCCUGUUCCUAUGGGGACAAUAUUCUUGUUAUCAUUUUGCUCUUUGUACAUCUUAUUGUUUUCAAAACACUAGAACUGGGAUAAAUAGUGAGGCAAUGUCAAGUUUUGAAAUUGUUGCUAUAGAAGCAUCCAUUCCACAAUGUCCCAAAGUGAGCUCCAUAUGGCACCUGUUCUACAGGACAUUAUAUGUGUUGCUUAGAAAAAGCAGCGUUCCAUGCAAAAUGAGUUUGGGUAAUAAUACCAAAUCUCAUUGACUCUAAAGCACAAUUGAUUGUAAGAAAUACCAUUAUCAAUGCCAAAAUUCAACCAAAUGGGGACUCUAACAUUCCCAUAAAGCUAGGGCAACAAAGAGCUACAUCCUCAGUGUAAAAGAGAAAUCUUCAUGCAGAAAGGGACUGCAAGGAAACUAGCCUACGUCAACUUUGCACUAACUAAAGGGAGAGACAAAAUCUCUCUUGAAAACUUGGACCACAAGCUGGUAUUCACUAGAAUCUGCAAUCUGAAUUCAAAAAAUCUUUGGAAAGAGAAAGAUCUUAGGUUGGCAGCAGUGCCCACAGGGAACUGGAUGAAGUCACACAAAUGCUCUCUGGAAAACCUGACUUCAAUUCAGAUCAAAGGAUAUUGUAAUAUACUUUUGAUUGUAAAGACAUAUCCAAGUCUUAGAGAUGUCAGAUGUGAGAAUACAUGUAUAUGCAUCUUGGAGUCAAAUAUAGUAGUGUUUCUUUACAUUUGGACUUGUCAGAGCCUACAAUUCACAGACUAAUGUGAACUGUAAAUUUUUAAGCCUGAAGAGAGAAGAUGGGGAGGUGAGAGUGGGAAGAAAUAGAAUUUACUGGACAGUAGAACUCCCAAAUAUUAUUAUUUAGAAAAUAUCGAACAAAGAGCUGAUAUAGACUAAGAGGUGGAAACAACCCAAAUGUCCAUAGAUGGAUACAUGGAUAAACAAAAUGUAGUAUAUACAUACAAUGUAACACAAUUCAGCCUUAAAAAGAGGAAAAAUACUGCCACAUGCUACAACAUGGAUGGAUCUUGAGGACACUAUGCUAAGUGAAAUAAGCAUGUCACAAAAAGACAAACACUAUAUGAUUCCAUUUAUAUGAGGUAUCUAAAGUAGGAAAACUCAUAGAAAAAGAAAGUAGAGUGGUGGUUGCCAGGGACUAGGGGAAAUGCAGAGUUGUUAUUGAGUGGAUAUAAAGUUUCAGUUUUGCAGAAAGAAAAAGUUUUAGAGAUCUGUUACAUAACAAUGUGUACAUAGUUAGCACUACCGAACUCUACACUUAAAAGUAGUUAAGUUGGUAAAUUUUAUGUGUUUUUUACCAUAAUUAAGCUAAUAUAGACCAUGAUUGUAAAACCUACUUCAUAUGGUUAUUGUAACUACUGAGCUAAUAAAAGUAAAACAUUUAGACAAUGCCUGAAACAUAGUAAGUACUAUUUAAAUGUUAGGUAUAAUUAUAACUUGUUUGUAUCCCUGCUUGUUAGUGUCAACAAUAUCAUGAUUCUACAAAGAAGCUGACCCCACAGCAUUGAUGCCACUACAUGGGUACUGUCACUGACUGGCUGUCCUCUCCUCUCCAACAGGUGAUAAGCAAUUACUACUUGUCACUCUCCUGGAAAGCCUAUCUACUUCUCUGACAAGUCUGGAUAUAAAACCUUAAACCUUCCACAACAUGAACAGCUAAUAAAAUUUGUCAGAUCACACUUUGCCAUGCCCAUCAAGAGCACACUUCUUAACAUACCCAGGACAUAAGGUCCAGGAGGCACCACGGCCUGACACAGAGCAAAGGCUUAGUGAAUAUUUAUUAAAUGAGUGAAAUCCUUAAAUAGUGGGACCAAAGUACCCUUUCCAGUAUAAGCUUUGGUCCCAAUGUGAUAAGGUCAUCGUACAAAUCGGGGCAAAGUAGAGAGCAGUCCAGGACUCCUAUUCAGAGGCCCAAUUAUUUUUAUAUGGUGAUUGCUCCUCUGCGUAAAAAAAGGUAUCCUGCCCUAUUUAAAUCAGACAAGAACCAGCCAAAACACCUGGAAAAUCCACUCUAUGUCUUUCCUAGAAUGAAAGGAUGUAUAAAUAACUAAGAAAUGUAUCACCUGUAGCCCAAUUAACUAUUGUAUCAUAUUAAUAUUAACACAACUGAGAAAAACAGCAUUCCAUAUUCUGAAAUCAGUUCCAUAACCGCAUUUAGAUCUUAAGACCCUGAGCCCCUUUGCCACAGUGGUGAUCAGGCUGCACACGUUUAAACAGACCAGAUCCAGAGCCUGCAGGGAUGGCCCCUGGGGUGGGUAGAGUAAGUGGCAACUGUGUGAGUGACUGGAGGCACGUCGGAAUGGCUCUCUUUGCUGCACCUGCCUCAAGCAUGGGAAAGGACUAUAGAAACACCCACCAACAUGAAAUGACUAGAAGGCCUUCUAUAUGGCAGGUAACAUUCAAGAUUUUAUUACAGAUGUAUCGAUGAGUUAGA
rnacentral:lncRNA from 1 species